AGGCAAGAUGUUGGCAUAGCUGAGUCAUAUAUGAACCAUCAGCUGUGUCUCAUAUUGCUAUC
rnacentral:pre_miRNA from 1 species